rnacentral:rRNA from 1 species
CGGCGGACGGGUGAGUAACGCGUGGGUAACCUGCCUCAUACAGGGGGAUAACAGUUGGAAACGGCUGCUAAUACCGCAUAAGCGCGCAGUACCACAUGGUACGGUGUGAAAAACUCCGGUGGUAUGAGAUGGACCCGCGUCUGAUUAGGUAGUUGGUGGGGUAACGGCCUACCAAGCCGACGAUCAGUAGCCGACCUGAGAGGGUGACCGGCCACAUUGGGACUGAGACACGGCCCAA